UACAGAGGGUGCGAGCGUUGUUCGGAUUUACUGGGCGUAAAGGGCGCGUAGGCGGUCGUGACAAGUCACUUGUGAAAUCUCCGGGCUUAACUCGGAACGGUCAAGUGAUACUGUCGGACUAGAGUACAGAAGGGGCAACUGGAAUUCUCGGUGUAGCGGUGAAAUGCGUAGAUAUCGAGAGGAACACCUGCGGCGAAGGCGGGUUGCUGGGCUGAUACUGACGCUGAGGCGCGAAAGCCAGGGGAGCGAACGGG
rnacentral:rRNA from 1 species